rnacentral:rRNA from 1 species
GAUGAACGCUGGCGGCGUGCUUAACACAUGCAAGUCGAACGGAAAGGCUCCUGCUUGCAGGGGUACUCGAGUGGCGAACGGGUGAGUAACACGUGGGUGAUCUGCCCUGCACUUCGGGAUAAGCCUGGGAAACUGGGUCUAAUACCGGAUAGGACGAUGGUUUGGAUGCCAUUGUGGAAAGUUUUUCGGUGUGGGAUGAGCUCGCGGCCUAUCAGCUUGUUGGUGGGGUAAUGGCCUACCAAGGCGUCGACGGGUAGCCGGCCUGCGAGGGUGUACGGCCACAUUGGGACUGAGAUACGGCCCAGACUCCUACGGGAGGCAGCAGGGGGGAAUAUUGCACAAUGGGCGCAAGCCUGAUGCAGCGACGCCGCGUGGGGGAUGACGGCCUUCGGGUUGUAAACUCCUUUCGCUAGGGACGAAGCGUUUUGUGACGGUACCUGGAGAAGAAGCACCGGCUAACUACGUG